GACGAACGCUGGCGGCGUGCUUAACACAUGCAAGUCGAACGGAAAGGCCCUGCUUUUGUGGGGUGCUCGAGUGGCGAAAGGGUGAGUAACACGUGAGUAACCUGCCCUUGACUUUGGGAUAACUUCAGGAAACUGGGGCUAAUACCGGAAAGGAGCUCCUGCUGCAUGGUGGGGGUUGGAAAGUUUCGGCGGUUGGGGAUGGACUCGCGGCUUAUCAGCUUGUUGGUGGGGUAGUGGCUUACCAAGGCUUUGACGGGUAGCCGGCCUGAGAGGGUGACCGGCCACAUUGGGGCUGAGAUACGGCCAAGACUCCUACGGGAGGCAGCAGUGGGGAAUAUUGCACAAUGGGCGGAAGCCUGAUGCAGCGACGCCGCGUGCGGGGUGACGGACUUCGGGUUGUAAACCGCUUUCGCCUGUGACGAAGCGUGAGUGACGGUAAUGGGUAAAGAAGCACCGGCUAACUACGUG
rnacentral:rRNA from 1 species